CAGUCGUGCCAGGACAGCGUGUGCCUAGGAACUGCUCUUGGGGACUCUCACAGGCGCCCUGCACUGCCCCUGCUGUGCGUGUCUCCUGUUGCCUGGGAAGCUAAAGGGACUGUGGUCCAGGCCUGCCAUUGGCUCCCAAGAACCCCGCCUCCUGGUGACACCCCCUCCUCUUGAGUGUGGGUGAGACCUGAAGACUCACUUUUACCAAAUGGAAUAUGGAAAAGAUGUGGCCUCUGAGGUUGUUAUAAAACAACUGUGACUUCAUGGGGCUCUCCGUCCCUCACUCUCUGCAAAUCUCUCACUCUGGGGCAACAGGCUCCCCCCCCGUGAGCUGCCCCGUGGAGAAGCCCAUGAGGCAUGGAACCCAGAACCUAAGACCUGCCAGCGCCCCCUGUGUAAGCCUGGACGCCAUCCUCCCGAGUCGGGCCUGGAGAGGGCCCCAGCCCCAGCCCCAGACCCAGCCGACGCUCUGAAUGACACCCCACGAAAGGCCUUGAGUGAGAGAACGCAGGUCGUUCUUAUUAAAUAUUGACAGAUGCAAAAAGAUAAACAUAGUAAGAUAUCAAGAAUAGAUGCAAUGCACACCCAGGCCCCAGCAGUAUCCUUGCAAGUCCUCCUGAGCCUGUCUCCAUCCUGCCCCCCUGCCAGAGAUGGAGUUUCACUCUUAUGCCCAGGCUGGAGUGAGUGGUGCGAUCUCGGCUCACUGCAACCUUUCCGGCUCACUGCAACCUCUGUCCCCCAGGUUCAAGCGAUUCUCCUGCUUCAGCCUCCCAAGUAGUUGGGAUUACAGGCGCCCGCCACCACGCCUGGCUAAUUUUUGUAUUUUUACUAGAGACAGAGUUUUGCCAUGUUGGCCAGGCUGGUGUCGAACUCCUGACCUGAAGUCAUCCACCCACCUCGGCCUCCCAAAGUGCUAGGAUUACAGGCAUGAGCCACUGUGCCUGGCCGACAAAUUCUUUGAGCACUUUUGAUACGUAAGGAAAGUGCUGUGAGGGAAAGAGCCUGGUCCCUUUAAAUGAUAUGGGAGGGGGGGAAGGGAAGUGCUGGGUAGAGUAGGGCGUGGUCCCUAGCUAGGGCUCUACCCCCAUGGACCUAGGUGAGGACAGGCAAUUCAGGCAUUUCCUGCAUUUCCCAAGACCGCCCUGGCCUGCCACGCCCCUAUAAUGUGCCUUUAAAAGCCCAAGACCGUCGCUAGGCACAGACGGAAGUGACUGGAUGUGGAGAGGAGUGUAUCCGCGAAGGAACGCACAAGUGGCCUGACCUGCAGAAGAACGCUAGCUAGGCACUAGGCAUGCCGGCAAGGUCAGCUGAGAGCUGACCCCAGUGCAACGUGGAGGAGUUUGGUUGGGGCAGUCGGAGGAGCACCUGGGCCGCCAAGCGGCCAGACUUCGGGGGAAAGCCAUCUCUCUUCUGGCGCCUUUAUCGGCAGAGAGCUACUUGUACUCAAAACCUUGCACUCAUUCUCCAAGCCCACGUGGGUAAGAUUCACCCACACUGCGGAGGGCGUCGGAGCUCCACAGCCUGCCUGUCUGUAUGCUCCCAUAGAGGUUUGAGCAGCGGGGCACUGGAGAAGCAAGUCACACCCCCAUUGCACGCCAUGGGAGUAGGACAAGUUAUCUGCGCAGCAGAGAAAAAGGAGCACAGACCUCACAGACAGACAGAUUGGGCUCAACAUGCACCUGGGCCUUGAGGAGAAUCUGCCUGUGCAGGGAGGCUCACAUGCUGACCGCGAGCAGACGGAACAAUCCUCGUUUGUUCAUGGAGAAACAAGACCACGGGUGACUCUGGGUAACUGAGACCUCAGGAAGUGAAACCUCAGAUAAAGGAUUCAACAGAGUUGGAUUGCUGAGAAUAAAAUUACGGAUUUCUCCAUAAUGGACACACGCACUUUUUGUUUGUGCUGUUUCCUUUAGAAUGGACGAUGAGUCAAAAUUGUUCGUUUAUGCUUCUUCACAGAAGGAUCUUCUGUGUCGUAGGAGGUGGCCUGCAGCAAUCUGGACAUUCAGUGGUCCUCCUGUGAUUAAUAGGUGAACGGAUGAGCUAUUCUGAUAAGAACUGGGGAACUUUUGCCAUUCAAAAGCAAAUAGAAGAACUGGGAGAUUCCUCAACUUAGCUUUUCUUUUUUUUGGUUCUAAAGUGACUGCGAAUGGAGGUAGAAGAGAAGAAAAGCUUUCAAAAACAUCUUCCAUUAAGAAAAAUAUGUAUCUUCAUGAAGACCUAUCUGAGUAAAAUUACUAAAACAUAAUGGCUUUCUUGAAAUAGAAUGGAAUGAAAGGCAUAUUAGGGAGUAUGAAAGUAUGAAGAUUUUAUUAACAUACUUCUAGAAGUUUAUUAAAUAUCUGCACAGGAACUGUAAUUUGAGAUCAGUGGUGGAAAGAGAAUAAAGGAAUCACGUGGACAUCAGCUCUGAGGCCUGUGGCCCCACUUGCUUCUGGGCUUUCUAUAGACAUUUGCUGGUGACCUGCCCAGGCAGGCUAGAGUACCCUUCCUCAUUGCACCCUGUGUUCCCAUCCUCUUUUCCUUCCUUCCUUCCUUCCUUCCUUCCUUCCUUCCUUUCUUCCUCCAUCCCUUAUGAAACCCUCGUUGUGCAGUUACUUAUUAGGUGCUGUGUGAGCGUCUGAAGUCUCCCCUCACCCACUUUUCCAUUUGGGCCACUUGGCCAGUGAUUGCAUCAGUACCAGGGUUCUAGGAGCCAUGCAGGGAUCCCCAGUGGGCAGAGCUGGCCGUAGCAUUUGGAAAGGAAGAGAGAGAACUGGAGACAAUGCCUAGGAACAAAAGCAGAGUCCAGACCCAGGCAUCAAGUGCAAAUCCAAAGGCUCUGGAUGAGUCAGUUCCCAGCAAAGGGACACAAGUAGGCACAGAAGGAAGGACAGCAGAAAACACUGGUCCAGAGAGGGCCUGCAGAGCCAGAAGCGAUGACGCAUCCAAGGUUGUGUUUGACUUCUGCACUGCCUCUGCAACCUGUAAGCACAUCUGAGCCAGUUCAGAAAGUAGGAAAACCAAAGUAUAUCAGAAAUGGCCUCUUAUCAUCAAGGAGAUUUUGGUCUAGAUUGCUUAUUGCUCAGGAGAAAUCACCACUUUUUAAAAAGAUAUGCUGAGAUAGGGUUUAGUUGGGAUAGAAAAGGUUAUUAAACUACGGGACACCCUUCCUUUACAGAGUGUAAGCACUACUACCCCUUUUGUUUGUCUGUUUUUCUUAUUUUUCUCACAGAUGCAGUUCCUGCAUUAGUAUUGAUAAAUGUGUGGCUGCUCCACUUGGAGUGUUUUCAAAGCAUAAAUCACAGCAUUGAUGGUGCUGUGGUUUGGCUCUUCCAGCCCUCUUAACAACGGUCUGAUGGACUUGGCGAGAGUCUAGCCACGUGUUCUGGCCUCUGUCACUCUCAUGGCUGAAACGCAUGCACACCCACAGAUGGGGGCCCCGUGGUAGAGAUGUGCCUCUACUUGUCAAAUAGACUGACUCCAAAUUCGGAAAUAUGCCUCAGGAAUCUAGAAAGAUAGAAAAGGAGUCUUCGUCACUGUAGGGUCUCAUUCACAAUAUGGAGGAGAGAUGGAGGGGAGUUUUUGGUAUAAAUUUUGCCUCAUAAAAAUUCUCCACGUUGUUUUGUACUGUAUGAGGGUAGCGAGAAAUUAGUUGAUGGUUAACAAUCAAGCUGGAGAAGAAUAUCCUCAAUUUUUCACAUGGAAAAUGAAAAACUACAACUCCUUCCAAAUAUAUGUAUGUUUCUUUUCUGAAGAUAGACGUGUGUGUGUUUGUGUGUAUCAUAUAACAUUUAUUUUUUGAUUUCUUUGUUAUCAACAGUAAAAAUACAGAAAAUGAUGCCAAAGAGAAUUUCUGAUUUUUCUUUCCUUGUUUUCCAUUAAAGUGUAUUACAAAUAAUGUCUUCAAACACAAUAGCAUGCAUAGUGGCUUAAAUUGGAUUCUUCCUGGGCCACUCUGUUUAGGAUCCAGGUUUUUAACAUUGUUCUUCUAAGUGCAUCCAUGUUUCCUGAGAUCCACAAAGCUUGAUCUCAUCCGUGGAACCACCUGGCCUAGAACCAGCUGCG
rnacentral:lncRNA from 10 species